AACGAACGCUGGCGGCAGGCUUAACACAUGCAAGUCGAACGAGAUCUUCGGAUCUAGUGGCAGACGGGGGAGGAACACGUGGGAACAUCCCUUUCAGUUCGGAAUAACGUUGGGAAACUAACGCUAAUACCGGAUACGUCCUUAGGGAGAAAGAUUUAUCGCUGAAAGAUUGGCCCGCGUCUGAUUAGCUAGUUGGUGAGGUAAUGGCUCACCAAGGCUACGAUCAGUAGCUGAUCUGAGAGGAUGAUCAGCCACAUUGGGACUGAGACACGGCCCAAACUCCUACGGGAGGCAGCAGUGGGGAAUAUUGGACAAUGGGCGCAAGCCUGAUCCAGCCAUGCCGCGUGAGUGAUGACGGCCUUCGGGUUGUAAAGCUCUUUUGUCCGGGAAGAUAAUGACUGUACCGGAAGAAUAAGCCCCGGCAAACUUCGUGCCAGCCGCCGCGGUAA
rnacentral:rRNA from 1 species